rnacentral:misc_RNA from 1 species
AAGAUGAAACCUUUCCCUUCUAUGGCCAAUCCCAUAAUUUCCCAGUGAAAAUAAUUUAACCAAGAACAAACAAAAACCUCAAGAGGCACCUUGUUAUUGUUUUAAAGAAUCCAAUUCUAACCAAGAAUCUAAUUAAUGAAAGCCCUGCCAAUUGACGCUUAGAAAUCAUCGGCCAGCAAAAGAAGUUCACAUAAAAAUUAUAAACUGAGAUUAUUAAUGUCCAUUUCUCUAAAAUUUCAUUGAAAACUUCAUCAAGUCUUAAAAUAAGAUCCAUCCGAAACCUAAAAAUGACAAAACCAUCUGUAAACUAAUGGGACAAAAACUAGAUUCAAU